rnacentral:rRNA from 1 species
AAUACCGCAUAACACUUUAGUACCGCAUGGUACAGAAGUCAAAGCAUAAUGUGCUGAGAGAUGGUCUCGCGUCUGAUUAGCUAGAUGGCGGGGUAACGGCCACCAUGGCGACGAUCAGUAGCCGGUCUGAGAGGAUGAACGGCCACAUUGGGACUGAGAUACGGCCCAGACUCCUACGGGAGGCAGCAGUGGGGAAUAUUGGGCAAUGGGGGAAACCCUGACCCAGCAACGCCGCGUGAAGGAAGAAGGCCUUCGGGUUGUAAACUUCUUUUAGCAGGGACGAAGGACGUGACGGUACCUGCAGAAAAAGCAACGGCUAACUACGUGCCAGCAGCCGCGGUAAUACGUAGGUUGCAAGCGUUGUCCGGAUUUACUGGGUGUAAAGGGCGUGUAGGCGGAGCUGCAAGUCAGAUGUGAAAUCCCGGGGCUCAACCCCGGAACUGCAUUUGAAACUGUAGCCCUUGAGUAUCGGAGAGGCAAGCGGAAUUCCUAGUGUAGCGGUGAAAUGCGUAGAUAUUAGGAGGAACACCAGUGGCGAAGGCGGCUUGCUGGACGACAACUGACGCUGAGGCGCGAAAGCGUGGGGAGCAAACAGGAUUAGAUACCCUGGUAGUCCACGCUGUAAACGAUGAAUACUAGGUGUGGGAGGACUGACCCCUUCCGUGCCGCAGUUAACACAAUAAGUAUUCCACCUGGGGAGUACGACCGCAAGGUUGAAACUCAAAGGAAUUGACGGGGGCCCGCACAAGCAGUGGAUUAUGUGGUUUAAUUCGACGCAACGCGAAGAACCUUACCAGGACUUGACAUCCAACUAACGAAGUAGAGAUACAUUAGGUGCCCUUCGGGGAAAGUUGAGACAGGUGGUGCAUGGUUGUCGUCAGCUCGUGUCGUGAGAUGUUGGGUUAAGUCCCGCAACGAGCGCAACCCCUAUUGUUAGUUGCUACGCAAGAGCACUCUAGCGAGACUGCCGUUGACAAAACGGAGGAAGGCGGGGACGACGUCAAAUCAUCAUGCCCCUUAUGUCCUGGGCUACACACGUAAUACAAUGGCCGUCAACAGAGGGAAGCGAAACUGCGAAGUGGAGCAAAUCCCUAAAAACGGUCUCAGUUCGGAUUGCAGGCUGCUA